rnacentral:misc_RNA from 1 species
AGAGAGAGAAGCAAGAGAGCGAGA